rnacentral:rRNA from 1 species
GUCCACGCCGUAAACGAUGUCUACUAGUCGUUGGGUCCCUUGAGGACUUAGUGACGCAGCUAACGCAAUAAGUAGACCGCCUGGGGAGUACGGCCGCAAGGUUAAAACUCAAAUGAAUUGACGGGGGCCCGCACAAGCGGUGGAGCAUGUGGUUUAAUUCGAUGCAACGCGAAGAACCUUACCUGGUCUUGACAUAUCUAGAAUCCUGCAGAGAUGCGGGAGUGCCUUCGGGAAUUAGAAUACAGGUGCUGCAUGGCUGUCGU